GAUGAAGAACGUAGCGAAAUGCGAUAAGUAAUGUGAAUUGCAGAAUUCAGUGAAUCAUCGAAUCUUUGAACGCACAUUGCGCCCGCCAGUAUUCUGGCGGGCAUGCCUGUCUGAGCGUCAUUUCAACCCUCAUGCCCCUAGGGCGUGGUGUUGGGGAUCGGCCAAAGCCCGCGAGGGACGCCCGGCCCCUAAAUCUAGUGGCGGACCCGUCGUGGCCUCCUCUGCGAAGUAGUGAUAUUCCGCAUCGGAGAGCGACGAGCCCCUGCCGUUAAACCCCCAACUUUCCAAGGUUGACCUCAGAUCAGGUAGGAAUACCCGCUGAACUUAAGCAUAUCAAUAAGCGGAGGA
rnacentral:misc_RNA from 1 species